rnacentral:miRNA from 1 species
GAUAAUCCCCAUCUAGCAUUC